GGAGAGAUGGCUGAGUGGUCGAAAGCGCUCGACUCGAAAUCGAGUGACCUGAAAGGGUCCCAGGGUUCGAAUCCCUGUCUCUCCGCCA
rnacentral:tRNA from 1 species